UGACCGCUGACUCCAAAGCCCGUGCUCUUUCCAGUGAGCCACGCUGCUUCUCUCCUGGAGGCAAGAGAAGGUGAGGAUUGCAGGUUAAAAAACAGGUAAGAGCUACACAGGUAGACUUGGGAGUUGCCUGCAAACCGUCAGUAGCUACAUCCACGUGAACGGACGAGCUCAAAAGACUCGGUUAGUACCAAAUUUCAUUAUAUAACAUGCCUUCCCCUUCCUGAAUCAUUCUAUUUAGUUCAGUGUCUUUCCUCUUUCUCCUUCCAAACACUGUUAGAUAAUCAUUCCACUUAAAAUGAAAAUAUAUAUUUUUGCAUAAUGGGCCAAUUUUUGCCAUUACACGUAUAAUUACUGGGAUUUCUAUUGUUAAUUCUCAUCAAGUGUUUGGAUAAUUAUGGGAACAAUUAAAUGUCCAAGCCCACGGCUAUUAUAUUUUUAGAAGAGUGGAAUGGUCAGAACUAUGGCACUUUUUUUUUUCUCCCUUUGAAAUUUCAAUUUUAGGGAUCAAGGAAAGGGAAUUUCAGGACAGGAAAAUGACUACAUGCCAAGCCAGGCAGAAAUCCACCAGACCAGAUCCUGCCAGAUCAAUGUAAAUCUUCCCCGUAUACUGUAAGCUCCUUGCGGGCACGGAUCAAGUCCGCCGACUCUUUUUACUGCACUUUCCCAGGCGCUUAAUCCAGUGCUCUGCGCAUGAACCUGAGCGGAGAAAAGAAUCAUCAAGAAGCAGCAUGGCCUGUUGGAAGGAGCACAGGCCUGGGAGUCAGCCAUCUUCAAUGGAACCAAACUGUUUUGGAGGGGAACAAAAACAAUGAAGAGCAAGGACAAACCAGUGGAAUCAUAAAGCCAGUCCCAUGAUAGUUCAAUUCUUGGUUAGAGCACAUUUUCAUCUGAACUAGGGGUUGGAUUGCACUUCUCAUUUCUAUAUAACGAAGCACUAAGAACAGUCAGCUGGGGCCCUUUAAAGGAACUGCUGUGCUGUUAAGCGUGUUGUCCGUAUGCAGCAUUGCAGUAGUACUUGCCGAACCAAUAAAU